ensembl:lncRNA
GGACUCAACCUGCCGGACUCAUGCAAGUAGAGCGCUGAACUAUCGUGUUGGAAUUCGUCGGAAAAGGUAAAAACAUUUACCAGAAUGUCAAAUCAUAACUCAUGGGUUGAAACUUGUUGGCGCUGUGUGUGUGUGUGUCAGUGCCUCACAACGCCAAGGGCUUCCAGAGAAGAGGAACUGAACUGUGGAGUCCAUCCUCCUGACCUGACGAAGGCCGCCUCCUCAUACCUGUGCCCCCGCAUCUCUGGGAUCCUCAGAGUCCAUCGUCUUAUGCGGCCGCUGCUGUCCUCUCCUCCUCCUCUGGCUGAGACCACCCUUCACCCACCCUCAGCUGCCCCUCAUGCCCAGGGCGCAGGCAGGGUUCCACCAUCACUCCUAGUCCUGCCUGCGUACGGUUGAGUGUUUGGGCGCACAAUGGCGACCAAGCUGCGCAUCGGGUUCUAUAUCCUGGCGGCAAGCUGCCUGCCCUUCCUCUACAUCCUGUGUGUGAGCCUUGAGAUUUGGGCGUCUGGCAG